ensembl:lncRNA
CUCAUUGUAAAAAUGAUAUGUGUUUCAUCAUAAAAAUGAAAAAUAAGAAGAUGCAGAAGGAAAUGUAAGAAAUAUAUAUAACCCUAAACCACGGAGAUCAUCAAAGAUAAAAUAUCGCUGUGUUUUUCUUUUAGCUCUCCCCAUCUACAUUUGUAUUUACUUUGUAUAGUGGAAUUUUUGCUGGUGUUUAGUCCAUAAGUCGUGUCUGACUCUUUGUGACCCCAUGGACUGUAGUCUGCCAGGCUCCUCAGUCCAUGAGAUUUCCCAAGCAAGAAUACUGGGGUGGGUUGCCAUUUCCUUCUCCGGGGGAUCUUUCUGACCCAGGGAUCAAACCUGUGCCUCCUGCUUGGCAGACAGAGUCUUUACCACUGAGCCACCUGGGAAGUCGUAUAGUGAAAUACUAUUUUGCUUUAUAACCUGGGUAUUUUCUUCAUGUUACAUGAUGAGUUUCUCAUCUUAUGAAAUGUCCCUGAUGAAUACAAUUCUCUGAAAAGUAUGCUGUUGUAUGGAUAGGUUAUUUAACAUUCUUCAGUUAAUGAACUGAACUGAACUGAGAGUCCUAAGGAGAAUGUUGAAUCCUAACCACUAGACCACCAGAGAGCAUUGAGUCCUAAUGAUUUAAAAGCCAAAUUGUCUACAGGAGAGAAGCCUAUGUGACUUGUCUCUUAGGACAGCCAUCCUAAGCCUAUUGCAGCCCACCUGAAGCAUCUGAAUGCAAAGUGUGUAACAUCUUUGCCUUCCCUGAAAUACAUUCUCCCCGACUCCCACUGUUACUGAGAACUCAUUAACAUACAUCACUGUUAAGUUUAAGGCAUACAAGCGUCGUGGUUUGGUUUACAUAUAUUGUGAAAUGAUUAUCACAACACUUUGGCCACCUAAUGUGAAGAGCUGACUCAUUAAAAAAGACUCUGAUCCCGGUAAGAUUGAAAGCAGAAAGAGAAGGGAGUGACUGAGGAUAAGACGGUUGGAUGGCAUCACUGACUCAAUGGACAUGAGUCUGAGCAAACUCCAGGAGAUGGUGAAGUACAGGGAAGCCUGGCAUGCUGCAGUCCAUGGGGGUCAAAAAGAGUCAGAAAGGACUGAGCAACAACAACAAAUAUCCAUCUUCUCGUAUAGGUACAAUAAAAAGGAAAGAAAGGGAAAAAACAUUUUCCUAGUGAGCACCCUCAGGAUUUACUCUUUCAUCAGUUUUCUUAUACAUCAUGUAGCAGU